GAGAUACAAAGGCAGGAUGGAGUCAAACGGAGCUCCCAUGAACCACAGCAUCACCAUGACCAAUCUGACUGUGGAUGAUUCUGGUGUCUACACUUGUGUCUACAAAGAAUCAGUAGACAAAAGUGUUGAGUGCAAAGUCUACACGGUUUUUGUAAGAGCAAUAACAAACAAACAUAACAGAGAGCUCCAGACGACCGCAGAGAAGAGACGUCUACCUGGUGGUAAUCGUGAGCCUAAUACUACCGAGCAUCCCAAAGAACCAUGUCCCAGACAAAAGGCGCUCUUGUCCACUGCAGAGGAGAGACAUCUACCUCUGGUGUUAAUCAUCAGUAUUUCCACCAUCAUCCUGCUGUUCAUCAUAAUCUUAAUCCUACUGAUGAUCCAGAAGGCGAGAAAAAUGAGAAGCUACAAAAGAAAAGCAAGACCUUCCCUGCAAGGAUCCAAUGAUUAUGUGUAUGAAGUUAUGAUGAAGACCAACGGGUGGCCAGCAGCAGCUCCAGUGCAGCCAGCACAAAACCCCUAUGAGCUUGUUUAGAAAUGUAGUCGAAUAUUAUUCACUUCUGGAGGGUUUCUUUUUAAGCUGUUGAUGGGGUGUUUUUUUUUUUCUUUUGUUUGUUUGUUUUUGGUUGAUUUUGGUUUUUGAAGUGAUUUAAAUCACAAUGAACGCACUCAAAGUGACCAUUCAUAGUGUUGCAUUGCCUCUGUUCCCUGAUUAUUUGAGAAUUGAGAGGGCAUUUGAAAAAAGCAUAAAUACAUAUUGUGAUAUCAUAGGCAUAGGGUUUGGGUUGUCACUUGUAAGCACCUAGGCCUCAGACAGCCAUAAUAAACAUCAGCAGCCUGAUUAUUGAUCUGUUAGUUUAGCACAAAUGAACACAAAUGGUGAGUGUUUCUUGUUUAUGUAUUAUAACUUGGAGGGUGCAUGCGAAGACAUGUGAAACAUACUUGUGGCCAAAAACAACCGAAGGUGGGCGGG
ensembl:lncRNA